UAGAAAAUYUUACCUGCUCAAUGGAAAAUUUUCUAAAUGGCCGCAGUAAUUUGACUGUGCUAAGGUAGCAUAAUAAUUUGCUCUUUAAUUAAGGGCUGGAAUGAAUGGUUUGAUGAAGAAAUUUUUGUCUCUUUUAUAUUUUUUAGAAAUUUACUUUUAAGUGAAGAGGCUUAAUUAUUAUUAAAAGACAAGAAGACCCUAUCGAGCUUUAAUUUUAAUUGUUUUCAAUUAUUUGCUUUGUAAUGUAUAAUAUUGAUUUUUUUUUUAUUUUGGUUGGGGCAAUCAUAAGUUAUAAGUAAUACUUUAUGUUUAAAUGAUUAAUAUAGUAGAUCCAAUAUUUUUAUUGAUUAAUAGAAUAAGUUACCGUAGGGAUAACAGCAUAAUUUUUUUGAAGAGUACUUAUUGCGAAAAGAGUUUGUGACCUCGAUGUUGGAUCAAAAUUUCCUAUAGGUGCAGUUGUUWWWAAGGGUUGGUCUGUUCGACCAUUAAAAUUUUA
rnacentral:rRNA from 1 species